rnacentral:rRNA from 1 species
CCAAGGAGUCUAACAUGUGCGCGAGUCAUUGGGUCUCACGAAACCUAAAGGCGCAAUGAAAGUGAAGGCAGCCUCGGGUUUGCCUAGGUAGGAUCCUUUUUCCGUCUGCGGAGGAGGCGCACUACCGGCCCGUCUCGUCCGCGUUGCGGUGAGGCGGAGCGAGAGCGUACACGUUGGGACCCGAAAGAUGGUGAACUAUGCCUGAGUAGGACGAAGCCAGAGGAAACUCUGGUGGAAGUCCGUAGCGAUUCUGACGUGCAAAUCGAUCGUCGAACUUGGGUAUAGGGGCGAAAGACUAAUCGAACCGUCUA